AACGCACAUUGCACCUCUUGGUAUUCCAGGAGGUAUGCCUGUUCGAGCGUCAUUACACCUCUCAAGCCUGGCUUGGUCUUGGGCAACGCGGCCGCGCCGCGUGCUCCAAUGUCUCCGGCUGGAUCGUCAAACCCUGCAGCGUUGUGGUCAAAAGCCGCUUCAGAGGUCGGUCGGUCUACCGCCGUGAACUUAUAUUUCUCUUGGUUGACCUCGGAUCAGGUAGGGCUACCCGCUGAACUUAA
rnacentral:misc_RNA from 1 species